UCGAACGACCGUUGCCUAUAAAUAUUUGAAGGUUAUAACCAGUGAAUAUUCUUUCGCGAUUACGUGUCUUAUAAUCAAUUUAAUAUAAAAUAAAAUGAGUAUCGUGUGUGAUUAAAAUGUGCGCCGAAAGUAUGCUACAAAGUAGAUUGUCGAUCGUUAUUAAUGAUAUUUCUGCGAGUGAGUGUGUGAGUGCCAUGUGAAGAGACAGCAAGGGAUAAGCAAAGGAUAAGAAGAGAAGGAAGAGACGCACGGGGAGAUGUCGAGCGACGGCGAGCGACCAUGGGAUGGCGAUAAGCUCUUCAUCAUACGACUUCGUCAUACGACUUUAUCAUACGACUUUUGAGCUUAACCUUUAUCGGUGAGAAGAGAACAAGAUCGCGAAACUAGGAACAGUGCCCGAGCAACGACAGGCCAAUAUCACGUGUAGUUCUAGAGUGCAACUCGAUGAACUGAUGCAAUAUUAUGGUGCAACCAUCGUGUACUCAGCAGGAGUUAGGUCUCAAUCUCUUCAGCUUCGCCAUCAGCUGACAACGUUCGAUGUACAAAACAGAACUUAAAAGAGACAGCAGUCAACCUUAUUGGCACCUUCAUCCGAGGAUGAAGACGAAAUGAAGAUGGGCGAAAGGAUGGACGAACGGCAGAGGGAAAGAGCGCCCUUCCCUUAUCCGUUCACAAAAUGCCGCGGCCGAGCUACGAAGUCGAUAGCGUAUCGCUUUCCACGGACCCAAAGAUCUUACACGAGCAUCUGGCCUUGCGCUAUAGUACGUCGUGCUGCAUCCUACGCAGGGGUCAGUAUCGAAGCUGUGUGGCACGUUUUUGACAUCGCUGGUUAAACAUAAGCUUUGUACAUAAAUU